GCAAGCAAAUCCGCACUGCUACAACACUGAGACGUGAUGACAAGCCACCAAGGUGGUGAAGUAGUUGAUGCCCAGCUUCCAGGAAAAGCCUCUAAGCGAUAGGUAAUCAUUAAUCGUACCCCAAACCGACACAGGUGGUUAGGUAGAGAAUACUCAGGCGCUUGAGAGAACUCGGGUGAAGGAACUAGGCAAAAUGGUGCCGUAACUUCGGGAGAAGGCACGCUGGCAUUAGGUGAAGGGUCUUGCAUCCGGAGCUAAAGCCAGUCGAAGAUACCAGCUGGCUGCAACUGUUUAUUAAAAACACAGCACUGUGCAAACACGAAAGUGGACGUAUACGGUGUGACGCCUGCCCAGUGCUGGAAGGUUAAUUGAUGGGGUAAGCCGUAAAGCGAAGCUCUUGAUCGAAGCCCCAGUAAACGGCGGCCGUAACUAUAACGGUCCUAAGGUAGCGAAAUUCCUUGUCGGGUAAGUUCCGACCUGCACGAAUGGCGUAAUGAUGGCCAGGCUGUCUCCACCCGAGACUCAGUUAAAUUGAACUCGCUGUGAAGAUGCAGUGUACCCGCGGCAAGACGGAAAGACCCCGUGAACCUUUACUAUAGCUUGACACUGAACAUUGAGCCUUGAUGUGUAGGAUAGGUGGGAGGCUUUAAAGUGUGGACGCCAGUCUGCAUGGAGCCAACGUUGAAAUACCACCCUUUAAUGUUUGAUGUUCUAACUUAGGCCCGUAAUCUGGACUGAGGACAGUGUCUGGUGGGUAGUUUGACUGGGGCGGUCUCCUCCCAAAGCGUAACGGAGGAGCACGAAGGUUGGCUAAUCACGGUCGGACAUCGUGAGGUUAGUGCAAAGGCAUAAGCCAGCUUGACUGCGAGCGUGACGGCGCGAGCAGGUACGAAAGUAGGUCUUAGUGAUCCGGUGGUUCUGAAUGGAAGGGCCAUCGCUCAACGGAUAAAAGGUACUCCGGGGAUAACAAGCUGAUACCGCUCAAGAGUUCAUAUCAACGGCGGUGUUUGGCACCUCGAUGUCGGCUCAUCACAUCCUGGGGCUGAAGUAGGUCCCAAGGGUAUGGCUGUUCGCCAUUUAAAGUGGUACGCGAGCUGGGUUUAGAACGUCGUGAGACAGUUCGGUCCCUAUCUGUCGUGGGCAAAGGAAGAUUGAGGAAGGCUGCUCCUAGUACGAGAUGACCGGAGUGGACGCACCACUGGUGUACAGGUUGUCAUGCCAAUGGCAUCGCCUGGUAGCUAAGUGCGGAAGAGAUAACCGCUGAAAGCAUCUAAGCGGGAAACUUGCCUCAAGAUGAGUCUUCCCUGACAGUAAUGUCCUAUAAGGGGGUGUUCAAGACGAGGACGUAGAUAGGCUAAGUGUGUAAGCGUAGCGAUACGUUGAGCUAACCAGUACUAAUGACCCGAGAGGCUGAACC
rnacentral:rRNA from 1 species